GUAGGUGGCAAGCGUUGUCCGGAAUUAUUGGGCGUAAAGCGCGCGCAGGCGGUUCCUUAAGUCUGAUGUGAAAGCCCACGGCUCAACCGUGGAGGGUCAUUGGAAACUGGGGGACUUGAGUGCAGAAGAGGAGAGCGGAAUUCCACGUGUAGCGGUGAAAUGCGUAGAGAUGUGGAGGAACACCAGUGGCGAAGGCGGCUCUCUGGUCUGUAACUGACGCUGAGGCGCGAAAGCGUGGGGAGCAAACAGGAUUAGAUACCCUGGUAGUCCACGCCGUAAACGAUGAGUGCUAAGUGUUAGAGGGUAUCCACCCUUUAGUGCUGUAGCUAACGCAUUAAGCACUCCGCCUGGGGAGU
rnacentral:rRNA from 1 species